rnacentral:sRNA from 1 species
GUUUGCACUUGUCGGGGAAGGGUGAGAACCUUCGAUUAAGGUUCGACUCGAGCGAAAGCGAGAGAACGUUGCCAACGGCAACGGCCCGUAG